rnacentral:snRNA from 1 species
AUGCUCGCUUUGGCAGCACAUAUACUAAAAUUGGAACGAUACAGAGAAGAUUAGCAUGGCCCCUGCACAAGGAUGACACACAAAUUUGUGAAUCAUUCCAUAUAUUG